AUAUAUAAAAAUGCAUACUAAAAAUUUAACUAAUAUACUGAAACUUAAUCUAAGAUACCCUGUGAAAACAGCAGUUCCAUAACACAUGGAAUGAAAAGUGACUAGUGCUGAUACUUUGAACCCCUUCUUUUUCAUUCUAUAUUUAGUAAAGGUUUAGCAACCAUGCUUAGUAUAACCAGAGUUAGUGCAAUUAGAGCUAGAAAGGUCCUCAAACGC